rnacentral:rRNA from 1 species
AUUGAACGCUGGCGGCAGGCCUAACACAUGCAAGUCGAGCGGAUGAAGGGAGCUGGCUCCUGGAUUCAGCGGCGGACGGGUGAGUAAUGCCUAGGAAUCUGCCUGGUAGUGGGGGAUAACGUCCGGAAACGGGCGCUAAUACCGCAUACGUCCUGAGGGAGAAAGUGGGGGAUCUUCGGACCUCAAGCUAUCAGAUGAGCCUAGGUCGGAUUAGCUAGUUGGUGGGGUAAAGGCCUACCAAGGCGACGAUCCGUAACUGGUCUGAGAGGAUGAUCAGUCACACUGGAACUGAGACACGGUCCAGACUCCUGCGGGAGGCAGCAGUGGGGAAUAUUGGACAAUGGGCGAAAGCCUGAUCCAGCCAUGCCGCGUGUGUGAAGAAGGUCUUCGGAUUGUAAAGCACUUUAAGUUGGGAGGAAGGGCAGUAAGUUAAUACCUUGCUGUUUUGACGUUACCAACAGAAUAAGCACCGGCUAACUUCGUG